UCCUCUAACGCAACGUGGUGCUGUUUGA
rnacentral:sRNA from 1 species